ensembl:snRNA U6 U6 spliceosomal RNA
AUGCUCACUUUGGCAGCACAUACACUAAAGUUGGAACUAUACAGAGAAGAUUAGCAUGGCCCCUGUACAUGGAUGACACAUGAAGCACUGCAUAUUUUA